GGGGUUCCCGCAGAGGAGGGCCGGGAGGGGUGGCCGCGAGGGGCGGCAGGCCCGGGCCGCGCCUCGGGGACUCCCGCGGGCCCCACGCAGCGGCAGCCGCGCCCCGGGAGCGGGGUCCUCGGGCAGGCCCGCCUGGGGCGCAGGGGUUGGGGAGCGGAGCGGCCUCCGCGUGAGGGGCGCCCGGCCCCGGCCCCCAGGCCGCCCGUGUCUCGCCGGCCCCUGGGGCUUGACGGAGCGGGGGGUGCCGCCGCCGCGCCGCGCGCUGUGGGCAGAACUUUGGCUGACGUGGCGGUCAGCGAGCAAGCCGGUACGUGCCUUGUUGUUUGGAGCAGGAGUAUUUCGUAUAUUUAAAAAGCUCUUGGUGUUUACAGCAUUUCUUUGUUUUGUUUUUGGUUUGUGUUUUGUCUUCGUUAAGGUUAUUAGUGCUUUCUUUCAAGCGUUGGCAAACUUUAUCAUCGUAUUUUGUAGGACUUAACGUUAAAUUGUUUUUCUUAUUUGGAAACUGUGUGCAUAUAUGCUCAUUACAGGCCGAAGAGCCACAAAAGUUGACGGCUGUAGCCACAGAAUUGUGACCAGUUUUUAUGAAUUGCACUUUUUUGGGGAAGCAUGUUUUCUGCUUAAAGGAGUCCUAGUCUUUGAGUCCAACUGUGCCCUGAAAAUAGUGACUGCCUGUGUGGAGUGGGCCGCAGAUAAAAUAUUUAAACAAAAGAUCGUACACUAAUAAUCUGUCAACAGAUUAAUGAAGGAGGCUGGAAAUUCUGGUUUAAACAUUAAUAAAAAGAUAAAGAAGAGCCAAUUAAGAAUACCAAAAUGUGCCUGCUUAUUAUAAAUUUUCAUUUCUUCUGGUCUUUUGUUAUUAAUGUGCUUUUAUAAAUGCAGCUUUGAAGUUCUGUCUAGUUUACAUUUUAGACAAGGAGUUACCAGGGCAGCUGUUACCCAGACCCCCCCUUCCCUGGUUCAAUUCCCUGUUAUAGUGGCUGCAGCUCUGACUUCUGUUCUUAGAACGUAGGAACUGCCCCUCACACCCCAGCAUCUCAGUCUUUGGGCGGAAGGAUACUCAACAGGUAUCUGAAAAGGCAUUUUGGGAUGGCAACUGACACCAACCGGCAACUGUCCCCAGUGGUGAGGACUUAACCUCAAUUAUUUUGUGAGCUAGUGCUGGGAAAACGAACAGCACCCACACAAGUCUUUCCUUAUUUCAUACAGCUUUUUGUUAAAAUAAAUCUUACCUGUGUCUGAUCCUCAAGAGGAGACCUCUGUGUACCUUUUGUUUAUAGUCCAAGUGACUGAGCAGCCAGCGCCACGCACCUGCCAGACUGCCGAAACUGUGCAGGUGGUGAGCGUGAGGAUUCUGCAAGGUGGAGCAGCUGACCCAUGAGUCAGCCCUUGCCCAGUUCUAGCAUUAUGACUUACGUUGUUUUUUUAGGACAUGUGCCCCAUUGUGCCAGGUACUGUAUGGAACAUAAGAGAGCAGCUCUUCCUCAGGGCGUUUUGUGUUUUGUGUUGUUUGGUCCCCUCUUCCUGGCUGGCUCUCCGGCUUAUUUGAUCCUCGUGAGUCUAUGAAGUGGGCGCUGUUAUCAUCCCCAUUCUGCAGGUGGGGAAGCGUGGGCACUGUCGGACGGACUGAUUUCCUCGGGAUCAUAAUGCUUGCACAUAAGGAAUGCGCAUGUUACAGUUCCUAUAGCCACAGAAUACUGUGUGGGGGCGGGAAGGACAUGCCCUUCGGAGUUCCCCCGGUCGGACCUUGCUGAUUGCGUCCCCAUGGUGUCCUGGAAAAUGUCGCUCUGAUCUGUUUUUCCAGUCCGUUGACGGCUGCAAUCUAAAGCCUUGACCACAUUCAGAUUUGACGUUUUUCUUUUUGAGAAGACUUUCUUUGGAG